CCUACGGGAGGCAGCAGUGAGGAAUAUUGGUCAAUGGGGGAAACUCUGAUGCAGCGACGCCGCGUGAGUGAAGAAGUAUCUCGGUAUUUAAAGCUCUAUUAGCAGGGAAGAAGAAAGACGGUACCUGACUAAGAAGCCCCGGCUAACUACGUGCCAGCAGCCGCGGUAAUACGUAGGGGGCAAGCGUUAUCCGGAUUUACUGGGUGUAAAGGGAGCGUAGACGGCUGUGCAAGUCUGAGGUGAAAGCCAAGGGCUCAACCCUGGGACUGCAUUGGAAACUGGGGAGCUAGAGUGCUGGAGAGGUAAGUGGAAUUCGUAGUGUAGCGGUGAAAUGCGUAGAUAUUAGGAGGAACACCAGUGGCGAAGGCGGCUUACUGGACAGUAACUGACGUUGAGGCUCGAAAGCGUGGGGAGCAAACAGGAUUAGAUACCCCAGUAGUC
rnacentral:rRNA from 1 species